UACGUAGGGUGCAAGCGUUUAAUCGGAAUUACUGGGCGUAAAGCGUGCGCAGGCGGUUUUGUAAGUCUGUUGUGAAAUCCCCGGGCUCAACCUGGGAAUGGCAAUGGAGACUGCAAGGCUAGAGUUUGGCAGAGGGGGGGUAGAAUUCCACGUGUAGCAGUGAAAUGCGUAGAUAUGUGGAGGAACACCGAUGGCGAAGGCAGCCCCCCUGGGUCAAAAACUGACGCUCAUGCACGAAAGCGUGGGGAGCAAACAGG
rnacentral:rRNA from 1 species